UACGUAGGGCGCAAGCGUUGUCCGGAAUUAUUGGGCGUAAAGAGCUCGUAGGCGGCCAGUUGCGUCUGCUGUGAAAUCCCGGGCUCAACCCCGGGCUUGCAGUGGAUACGGGCUGGCUGGAGGCAGGCAGGGGAGAACGGAAUUCCCGGUGUGAGCGGUGAAAUGCGCAGAUAUCGGGAGGAACACCGGUGGCGAAGGCGGUUCUCUGGGCCUGUACUGACGCUGAGGAGCGAAAGCGUGGGGAGCGAACAGG
rnacentral:rRNA from 1 species